ensembl:lncRNA
CGUCGAGUCAAAGUAAACACAACCACUGCAAUGACCAUCAUUUAUUAGUCAAUUCUGAGUGGUUUAUUAGAAUAAAAAGUUCACAUAGAGCAAAGACUCCAUGCGGAGCAACGGGCAGAGCCCUGGACAAGAUGAGGAGAACGUUGUACAAGCCCCAAAGCUGGAGGCCGCUGGACUGUAUGGGGUGUGUCUGUCCCCCCCAUGUAAGCCUCUGUGUUGUGUUGUGUGUGUGUGUGUGUGUGUGUGUGUGUGUGUGUGUGUGUGUGUGUGUGUGUGUGUGUGUGUGUGUGUGUGUGUGUGUGUGUGCGGUUGUGUCUGUCGCCGUGGGGAUGGACUGAAGGCGUGUCAGAGUGUACAUGCACAUGUGGUUGUUUUUUCGCGUGACAAUGGACAGAUUAUUUUUUUUCUGUUUGUUUUUGCAGACACAAGCACAUACACACACGCACACGCACACACACACACACACACACACACACACACACACACACACUGCAUGUACUGUACAAAUUCACACGCCACUACUUCUGUACACGCACAGCGGUGUCGUCAUGCUGCGACUGCAUUUUAAAUUACAUGUAAGCGUUGGGUGUAUGUACAGCAAGAGCGAGGAGCCUGUUGACGGGUCCCAGGGAGGGGGCGGGCCUCUGGUGGCAGAGGGGGAGGUGGGGGUGGGGGAGGUUGAGGUGGGGUAAAGGGAGCUGGGUCCUUCACAGUACUGAGGAACUUGGUUGGUUCUGGAGGGCGGGGAAGGGGGGGGGGGUGAGGGGCAACCUCUGGGUGCACCUCAGUCUGUUGGCGAGAUGGAGGUUUUGAUAACACCCCCCCCCCCCCCCCUCCGACUUCCCCUCCUCUACGUUCUCUUUGAGAUGAGUGACAGGCGUCAUCGUCAGCGAGGAGUGCGUCUCAAAUCUCACCGCCGCCGGGAGGAGUCGAAAAAAAACAUCCAAUCACAAACGCAUAUCGAUAAAAUCACAUCGUGUUCCGAACCAAAUAUAUUUACCACAGAAGCAAACCAUAAAAAAGACCAAAACCAUCCCAAAAUAAAACUAAUACAAAAAUAAGAGCGGAACAAACAUAAACAGAAAUAUUUUUCCUUUUUUUUUAUACAUGUUUUUUAAAAAAAGAAAAAAAACGAUUUUGUGCUCAUCACACAUUGGGGAAGUCUGACGCUGUUUGACGCGGUCUGACGCGGUUUGACGCGGUUGGACGCGGUCGGACGCCUCUUCUCCCAUGUUGAGGUUGAGGGAAAAGAAACACCUGCUACCACAGAGCCCCCCUCCCGUCUCUUCCCUGGAGAAAACGUUGACUGGAACCCAUUUAAAAGAUGGAGGUUGCUUUGCUGGAGGGGGCAAUGGUGGUGGUGGUGGUGGUGGUGGGGUGGAUGAGGCAUAUUGAGUCACAUCAGUGAUCACAGCACACCAUUUCCUAGCCGAGAACCCUAGAAGGGCAUGUGCUCAUCAAACACAGAAAGAAUGAAACAAAAAAACAUGACAUGGAGAAAUAAAUAACAGACUGGCUCACAAGGGGUGUAAAGAAGUGUGUGUGUGUGUGUGUGUGUGUGUGUGUGUGUGUGUGUGUGUGUGUGUGAGUGUGUGUGUGUGUGUGUGUGUGUGUGUGUGUGUGUGUGUGUGUGUGUGUGUGUUUAUGUGUGUGUGUGUGUGUGUGUGUGUUUGUGUGAGACACUGUGUGUGCGUGUGUGUGUGUGUGUAGCACCAUAGCACAAGCUGCAAACAAAGCAUUUCACAGCGUAAUAAACUAGUGGGAGGAUUUAAAUGGGUUACAAUGGAUUUACUUUAUGCUUGUCACUUACUUAAUAAAUGAACCAGCUCACAUCUGACAGCGGCAGGGACAACUACCUCGCGCUAGUAGAGACAGAAUAUGGCUGCCUAGAAUGUAUAACAGUAUACAGGCAGCAGAAAAUAUUAAUAUAACAUAAAAGGCAGGUGGGUUUGGAGGAUGUCUCGAGAAAGACUUAACUAAAUCAAUAAGAGGUAGAAGGAAAUGGGGGAACGAUAAUAUGGCAAAGGCAUUAUUUUGAGUGUUUUACACUGGGGAACCGUACACUACGAGGCUGCUGUCCUGUUAUACAAGGCUAAUCAUAUCUGAUCAGUGAGAUAAUAUCAUAUAUCUCAGAGGCCAGAUAGCAUCAGUGUAUGCAAAGACCCCAUUACCUCGGCGAAAUUGGCAAUUCUAAUUCAAUUGCGUCAAGAAUGUUUGCAAAGAGAGUCUGUGGGAGAAAGACCUUUGUGACUGUGACGUGUGUGUGUGGGUGUGUGUGGGGUGUUUGUGUGCGCUCAUGCUUGAAUGGUAUGCAAGUCUCUCUGGGUUUGUGUGGUCUCCUUGACUUGGUGUGGUUGCUGGUGGUUUCGGCAGGGUGGAAAAGUUGGCGAGUCUCUCUCUCUCCCUCCCUCUUACUCUCUCUCUCCCCCUCUGUCUCUCUCCCUCUCUCUCUCUGUCUCUCUCUGUCUCUCUCUCUCUCUGUCUCUCUCCCUCUCUCUGUCUCUCUAUCUCAAGGCGAAUGUGUCUUGAGUAAUAUUCUCAGAGGCUCAUCAGGCCAUUAGAGGACCAGGAAUGUACUUUGCCUAAUCAAGCAUGUUUAGUGAAACACUGGAGGACACGCAGACGACGGCCACGGAUGGAGGGGCACGCAGUGACGAAGAUGGCUCAGUCGAUAAGACACGCACACGCACAGACACACACACUCACACACACACUUGGCAGGCCUUGGCAGUGGCAGGCGAGGAUGAGGGACAUGUAUGCUGAAGGGAUUUGCGUUCUGAAUGAAUAAACUCAGUCGGGGCUCCAAAGGUCUGGUAGGUAAAGUACGAAUGAGUAUACAAACAUAAAGAGCUGCUACUCUGGUCAAGUUAUUAUGUAUGCAUCCCCCUCAUUGCCCCCCCCCUCCUCUCCCUUUGCCUUUACUUGAUCUCUUUAACUAAUUCACUGUAUACUGGUCUUGUCUCGCUGUGUGAGCGCGCAGUGUGAUGACAGCGAUGGGCUUACCCCCAUGCUCGCUGCAAAGGGUUGGCGGGGAUCCAGAGUGAAGGGAUCUGUGUUAUAGGGAGAGCACGGCGUUUGGUUUGGAGACAACACCGGUAAAUGACCAGCGGGACAAAGAAACACGAUGGAACAAGAGAAAAAAAUUGAUCUAAUUCACAAGACACACAUUCACACACAUCACACCCCAGAGAGCAGCUGAACAGACCCCCCUCCAUUAGGGCAUCGCCCAACAGAAACCACCUCUGGGUGAACGUCUGAAUGACGACGGGAUGAGGAGGACAGAUAAAGGAAACAACGAAACAAAAAGAGAAGAAGAAAGCGGAGAGAAUGAAAGAGUAAUCCCAGCCCAUGGCUUCUCGUGUUUUGUCUGAGCCCCUUUUGUUGUCCAAGGCACGGAGAGCGAGACAGACAGACGGACCCCCCCGGGGCGGGACUGGUGCUGGCCCCCAGUCCGCCCUCGUUCCCAGUGCCGGCCCCCAGUCCGCCCUCGUUCCCAGUGCCGGCCCCCAGUCCGCCUUCGUUCCCAGUGCCGGCCUCAGCCGUCUGUCUCUCCUACGGUCGACGUGCUGCCGUCCAGCUCCUUGAUACUGGGCCGG